AGGGCAGGCUGGGCAAUCGCGGUGCCAUGUGCAUCGAGGAAGGUCCGGACUCCACAGGGCAGGAUAACGGCUAACGGCCGUCCACCUGCCGCCUCGGCGGCGGGUGAGGAACAGGACCACAGAGACGAGACUGCGGCGAGGGCGCGCCUGGCGCGCACCGGCACGGCCACUCCGUGCUGCGUCAUGCUCGGCAUGGCGGCGUUGCAGGGUGAAACGCGGCAACCUCUAUCCGGAGCAACACCAAAUAGGCAUGCGUACGGCUUCGGCCGGGAAGGGCGGCUCGCCCUAGCAUGCGGGUAGGUGGCUAGAGCGCGCCAGCAAUGGCGCGUCCAGAGGAAUGAUUGCCAGCCCGGGCAACCGGGCUUACAGAAUCCGGCCUAUAGGCCUGUCCUGCAU
rnacentral:RNase_P_RNA from 2 species